AGAUAUUUUUGACUAUACAAAAGGUAUUGAAAUAAGACUUUAAUUGAGUGCUAAGAGAAUGGAAUUUCAUAAAAUUUCUUUUUUAAUUUUAAAAAUUGAAAUUAAUUUUAUAUGUGAAGAAACAAUAAUAAAAAUUAAGGACAAGAAGACCCUAAGAAUUUUAAAGAUUUCAAUAAAAUUUUGUAUUUUAUUGAAAUCUUUUAAUUGGGGCGAUUAUUAAAUAUUAAAAACUUUAAUUUUUUUAAAAAAGAACCAAUAAUAUUGGUUAUUUGAAAAAAUACUCUAGGGAUAACAGCGUAAUAAUUUUUGAUAGUUCUUAUAGACAAAAUAGUUUGCGACCUCGAUGUUGGAUUAGGAUUCUUUUUUAAUGAAGAAGUUAAAAAAAGAAGUUUGUUCAACUUUUAAAAUCCU
rnacentral:rRNA from 1 species